rnacentral:lncRNA from 1 species
GACCACUAUGCGACCAACAAGUUCUCCCAGGCCACUGACUUGGCCAUGAAGAAGACAGAGGACAACAAUGCACUUGUGUUCAUUGUGGAUGUCGAGGUCAAAAAGCAUAAGAUCAAACAGGCUGUGGAGGAGCUCUAUGACACCAAUGUGGCCAAGAUCAACACCGUGAUCAGGGCUGAUGGAGAGAAGAAAGCCCAUGUUCAGCUGGCUCCUGAGCAUGCUGCUUUUAGAGGCUGCCAAAAAAUUGGGAUCAUC